GCGCAGCAGGCGCGAAAACUUCACACUGUGCGAAAGCACGAUGAGGGAAUCCCAAGUGCUUGCACGUAAGUGUAAGCUGUUUCUCUGUCUAAAACGCAGAGAGAGUAAGGGCUGGGUAAGACGGGUGCCAGCCGCCGCGGUAAUACCUGCAGCUCAAGUGGUGACCGUUAUUAUUGGGCCUAAAACGUCCGUAGCCGGUUUAAUAAAUGCCUGGGUAAAUUGUGUAGCUUAACUAUACGAAUUCCGGGUAGACUGUUAAACUUGAGACCGGGAGAAGUUAGAGGUACUCCUGGGGUAGAGGUGAAAUUCUGUAAUCCUAGGGGGACCACCAGUGGCGAAGGCGUCUAACUAGAACGGGUCUGACGGUGAGGGACGAAGCCCUGGGGCGCAAACGGGAUUAGAUACCCCGUAGU
rnacentral:rRNA from 1 species